CCGCACUAAUACGAAGCAGACGGCCAGAUGCUGCUGUGAAGGGGAGGAAGGAUUUCAAAGGUCAACUCGCAGCGCAUGACCCACAUCAGCGCGCGACUCCACGAACCCCAGCGACGGCUCUGUAGGAGCCGGGUCGUGAGCCGGGUCGUGCGACGGGUCGGCCCGUGCUCGUCAGGGAUCGAACGCUGAGGGACGCGUUUAGCACAAUAAUCAGGACACCUCUGUGGGCAGCAGGAGCCACGUCACUCCUCUCCUCAUAGCAACAGUCCUGUUGACCUACAUGCCUUCUACACAGCCCACUCUGCCCCGGGUGGUGGAAAACUAUGCAAAUGCGUGACACAGGUACCGACUUCAUUUUGAAUUCACAAAAUGUGCACAUAGCGGCAUGAAAAACUUACGCGUCACCUCACACAUGGAAGCUUCACCCCCUCCUGAAAAACACCACGGUGCCGGUUAAAAUAAAGCAUCCGCUCGUUCAAGUAGAAUUAAAACUGCAUACAAAGUGUUGGUCUCCUCCAGUCGUUCAGCCUUUUAUUUGAUGAAUCAUUGUACAGUUCCCGAAAGGCUUCAGCUCAAAAUUCAGCAACGCACCAACAUAGGCGGAUUUCAAUUUUAGAGCAGAACCUCCGGCUUUACAUGCAACGCGGCAGCUUCCUGAAGCACCAGACGCGCGUUACCUGGAAAAACCGCACGACAGCAGCGCGUCCCCCCCCCCCGGUCUCGGCGCAGACGCCAGCACUAGCAAGGCAGUAGCUUGCGCAGUCAUCUCCAUAGCGGGCAGUGUCACAGCCCAACCAACAGCACAAACUACUACCUCAGCCAGUGCGUGGCCACCAAACAGGGAGAGCGACGCGCGCGCGGUCCUCGGGGAACGAGAAAAGCGCAUAGGGCGCGCGUGGCGUCCGGCGCAGCGACGUUCCCACGCAGCCGGCGAGCUCCAUCCUCUGAGCGCCCCACUCCACUCUCCCGUGCAGACUUGAAAUAAGAGGGAAACCCCGCCCAAGCCCGCUCCUCCUCCUCCUCUUACUCAUGCAAAACCCAAGGACCGAGCAUCCCUCCCUCCCUCCCCCCAUUGACCCGCUGGACGGUCCCAAACUAGGGCUCGGGGAGGUGGAGGGCGCACAAAUCACAAGUCAAAAAGAAAAACGAGCGGAACUCAUUGUUCACACGGAUGACUAAUUAAAUUGCUUUUACAUGCUAUAAUCCAUAUUAGAUAUUUACUAUUAUGAUUUACUAUUUACUGGAUCAAAUAAUUGAUCCAUGCACGUUUGUUUUAAUAUAAAGAGAAUUUAUGCUUUGUAAGUGCAUAAUUGUGUAGAUCAGCCCAUAACUAGCAGGAUUCACGCCUUCCACAAGGGGGAGCUGUUCGGGUACACGUAGACAUGUCAAUGUCGCCACCUACAGGCAACUAGGAGUCUGACGCGGCUGAACACUGCCACCUGCAGGCUGUAGCUGUAUUUUUUUCAUUUUCUGUAGGUAUCUAUUAGUUUUUAAGAUUUAAAAUUUUUUAAAUGGUCCUAGCACCAAGUCUGAGUUCGUUCUCCAUCUCCAUGUUCGAUUGUUGAUAAAUCGAACAUUCGCUUCGGCGAGAACUAGCUCGAAUCAUUAGACACCAACGAUGAUUCUGUCAAACGUAACAAAAAUGUGACAAAUAUUAAUGUUAAUAUUAAUCCUCAUGCAUGAUGAAUUAAGCACAGUACAGGUCUGAUCAUAGAACUGUCCCAUUUAUUUGAUACAGACAAGAACAUCCCUUCUCAAUGGCUGGCUAUAGAUGACAUGGAAUGUUACAGUAAGAUUUAUUUUCCUUGCAUAAAAUCCUCACUGUCGAAAAUGUUGCAAAAGUUUAAGUGUUACUUUUAAGAUCAAUAAAGCCCCAUUUUUUGCGUUGUUGUUUUUUUUACACCA